GACAACAGUCCCUCUCAAAAUAGGCAUUUAGUUAAAGCAAGUGCACAGCUACAGGUUACCAUUCUUAUCACACCAGCUCUGGAUGCCGUGAAAUAAAAUCCAUGGUAAAAAUAGGUCCUCAAUUACUUUCAGUGACAGGGCAUUGAGUGACAUGACAAACUAGGCUCAGCCUCCCUUAGCACCAUUAAGCUUUGGUUGGUACUUUAUAUUGGUGGUCUUGUCUCUUCAUCCUCAUCUUAAAAAACCACCAGAUAACUAAUUUUGAGUAAAUUCAAAAUUCUUCAUGACAUGUAAACAUUUAUUACUACUUUCCCUGUACAGCACACAGAUUAGGCCCAAAGUUACAUCCCUUACAGCAAACUUUGAUAUACUGGGACCAAUUCCCCCUUCUCUUACUCUACUGUAAAUCCAUUAAUUUCAGUGGAAAUGCUCUUGAUUUACACCAGUGCAAAUGAGGGGAGAAUUUGAGCCUAUCUUACCAGAAUGGAUUGCUUCCCCACUACAAGCCAGGAUAUUAAGAAAUGUGUGCCCUUUCUAACAUCUAUAUGAUGGGAUACAUUACAUUAUCCAAUAGUGUUAGAUGGGAGAUGCCUCCACAUCACCACAAAUAUUCUGAUGGAUUUUAUGUUUACAGAACAGAUUAUUUAGCCCAUCUGCUUCCAAGAGAAAUCACCAAAGCCUCUUUAUUAUGCAGAUUUUAAGAUCCUGACCAAUCAGCUGAAGAUUAAGUUCUUGUUUUUUUACUCACACAACUUUAAUCCUUGGCACCUGCUCCUACUGGCAAUGUCUGUGGAGUUAUUUGAAUGUGCCUCUGGUGUAAUUAUUCUCCCUUUUUUUUGACCAAAGGAAGUGUUAGAUACUCCAGCAGCUGGGAUCAACAUACUUUGUCAACCUCUUCAUAUCAGCAUCCUGCUGUUAACUCCUGCUGUGAAGGAUGGCUGCAGUUAGGCAGUGCCCAUCUGAAGAUAAUUCCUUACUGAGAGUGUGAACAGUAUUUUAAGUCAAAAUAGAGAGGGUCUUCUUCUCUACUAGAAGCUAAAGACAAAGGAAGUAGUGUUAUACAGGUGGAGGGUCUUGCCACAUUUCACUCCUUUUUACCACCCAGUUAUGAAAAAGCCUUUUCAUAAUGUCUUAUAAUCAGUUAAUGGGUCUCUCUUUGUCGAUGUUGCAUAGUUAGAGCCUCACUAAACCAUCACAAGACUGAGAGCAACACAUACACCAGCACAAAAUUAUUUUUUUCCCCAAUAAUCUGCACAGACACAAAGUGCAUUUUACAAAAGGUUUUGGCCUAAAAGCUGCUCCUGUAGCAGCACUUAACUGACAGCUCUUCAGCAACAUGUUCAGUCUUACAGUCACCAUCAACUUGACAUCCAGCAAUUUGGGGGGAAAAAAUGUAAAAACUAGUUUCAGAUACUCAACCUGCUCUGUAGUCCCUCUGCCAACGUUUGCUUUUGCCAUCAUUCACAUUUUCUGAACAUUAUUUUGUUCCCCAUCAGUAUGGGCCCAUGCAAUCAACAGUGAAACUGACUAUGCAUAAUGCUAAUAUGAGCAUAGUAUAAUCACAUUAAGAGAGAAAAACAAGACACUUCAUUCUCCCCUCUAAUCCCUUUUGCUUAGAAUAAGCUUGUGUUGCAACAGUCAGAUGUAGAUAAAAAUUUAGGCAAAGACAUGAUUUGGCAAUGUCCCUUUAAGAUAAAACCACUAGUUUUUAAUCAGAGAAAAUACUCUACAAGCCAUUUUAAAUAUAAAGGUGUGGAGUCUUAUUAAGAUUGCAGAAUGGCUAAGGCAUUUGGUAAUGUGUAAGAGAGCUCUGUAGGUAGCUGGGUUCAAAUUCAGCCUAAACUGACCAGGAGUUCCAAGAUCAGCUGACUGUUUGCUGCCUCUGGGAAGAAGUAGGGCAAUAUUGCUCCAGUUCCACUGGGCAGCUGUCCACAAUUAAAACCCCCACUAAGAUUAGCCCUGCCAUGAGAAAACAUGCCAAGAAAUGAAUGGACCAUGGAGACUGAACCUGAUCCCCAAGAUAGUAAAUACUGAAUUAACUAGUUAAUUAAAAUGAGACCUAUUUUUCCCAAAUAGAUAUAAAGACAGGAUUCUCAUUUCACAUAUGCUAAUGAUUUCAGAAGUUUGUGUUACUUCCCAUUUGUUACUUUGUCCAAAAAGCACCCUACAUUUUUAUAAUAUGGAGUUCUGCAGUUACAAGUCGUCUUAGACAUGAGUUCCUGAGUACGUUGUUUGGUCACCAUGCAUGGCACUUACAGGAAAAUGAUAGUAAGAAGUUUGUCCAUAGACUGCUCUAUUAAGGAAAGAUGCUGGAGUUGUUAUGAUAGUAUGAUCCAUUGGUAUUCCAUAAUUAGUACACACAGGCUGCAAAAGGGAUCCAUUGGUUGAUGUAGGAGGCAAGAACUGGGCUCCUUGAGAGGACCCUAUGAUGGGAAAAGGUGGAGCUAUGCUCAGGCAGAUGUUGUUGGUCUGAGGAGGCCUACCCAAGGAGCGUCUGGUGGCUGAACUGGAACUGGAGAACCAAGGAGGAGCAGCAGCUUCCAGCAGCUGACUCUGGAUUGGUGCAGGCCCAUGUUGCUGCUCUUCAUCCUGGGAUUUCAGGCAUCUACAGCAGCAAAUACUAAUGAAGCCCCCAAUGACAAUGAAAGCCACAAAUAUGGACCCAACAAGGAGGAAAGGUCCCCUGCCUCAUUCUGUGCACAGGUAAAUCCUUAAAACCUGAGCUCACGUGUUCUGCAUGGACAUGAAUGUCCUGGAGCAUUUUUUAUAAAUUCAGGGGGCUGCUCUAGUACCCUUGUCCAAAAUCUCCUCUCCUCACAUGGUUGUGUAGUGGACUGUGCUCUCGUCAUCACCUGGCUGCUGCCACAGAGCCAUCUGCACUAUAGAUGUGGUGUGGAUGGUCCAAAGAUUGUAUGUGCAUAUGUAACUUGUGAACUGCUUUGGGAUCCUGUCCCCUGAAAAGCUCUAUACAGACAGACUAGGGUGCUGGUUGCAAACAGCUGUAAUAAAUGUGAAAUGGUAACAA